AGCGAACGCUGGCGGCAGGCUUAACACAUGCAAGUCGAACGAGCACUUCGGUGCUAGUGGCAGACGGGUGAGUAACGCGUGGGAACGUACCUUUCGGUUCGGAAUAAUUCAGGGAAACUUGGACUAAUACCGGAUACGCCCUUCGGGGGAAAGAUUUAUCGCCGAUAGAUCGGCCCGCGUCUGAUUAGCUAGUUGGUGAGGUAAUGGCUCACCAAGGCGACGAUCGGUAGCUGGUCUGAGAGGAUGAUCAGCCACAUUGGGACUGAGACACGGCCCAAAGUCCUACGGGAGGCAGGCGUGGGGAAUAUUGGACAAUGGGGGCAAGCCUGAUCCAGCCAUGCCGCGUGAGUGAUGAAGGCCUUAGGGUUGUAAAGCUCUUUUGUCCGGGAAGAUAAUGACUGUACCGGAAGAAUAAGCCCCGGCUAACUUCGUGCCAGCCGCCGCCGUAAAAC
rnacentral:rRNA from 1 species